rnacentral:rRNA from 1 species
UACGUAGGGCGCAAGCGUUAUCCGGAAUUAUUGGGCGUAAAGAGCUCGUAGGCGGUUUGUCGCGUCUGCCGUGAAAGUCCGGGCUCAACUCCGGAUCUGCGGUGGUACGGGCAGACUAGAGUGAUGUAGGGGAGACUGGAAUUCCUGGUGUAGCGGUGAAAUGCGCAGAUAUCAGGAGGAACACCGAUGGCGAAGGCAGGUCGUCUGGGCAUUAACUGACGCUGAGGAGCGAAAGCAUGGGGAGCGAACAGG